AUUGAACGCUGGCGGCAUGCCUCACACAUGCAAGUCGAACGGCAGCACGGGAGCAAUCCUGGUGGCGAGUGGCGAACGGGUGAGUAAUGUAUCGGAACGUGCCCAGUCGUGGGGGAUAACGUAGCGAAAGCUACGCUAAUACCGCAUACGAUCUAUGGAUGAAAGCGGGGGAUCGCAAGACCUCGCGCGAUUGGAGCGGCCGAUAUCAGAUUAGGUAGUUGGUGGGGUAAAGGCUCACCAAGCCGACGAUCUGUAGCUGGUCUGAGAGGACGACCAGCCACACUGGGACUGAGACACGGCCCAGACUCCUACGGGAGGCAGCAGUGGGGAAUUUUGGACAAUGGGCGCAAGCCUGAUCCAGCAAUGCCGCGUGCAGGAUGAAGGCCUUCGGGUUGUAAACUGCUUUUGUACGGAACGAAACGGUGAGCUCUAAUACAGUUUGCUAAUGACGGUACCGUAAGAAUAAGCACCGGCUAACUACGUGCCAGCCGCCGCGGUAA
rnacentral:rRNA from 1 species